rnacentral:rRNA from 1 species
CACGUAGGGGGCAAGCGUUGUCCGGAUUUAUUGGGCGUAAAGAGCUCGUAGGCGGCUUAGUAAGUCGGGUGUGAAACCUCCAGGCUCAACCUGGAGACGCCACCCGAUACUGCUGUGGCUAGAGUCCGGUAGGGGAGCGUGGAAUUCCUGGUGUAGCGGUGAAAUGCGCAGAUAUCAGGAAGAACACCCGUGGCGAAGGCGGCUCUCUGGGACGGUACUGACGCUGAGACGCGAAAGCGUGGGGAGCGAACAGG